rnacentral:lncRNA from 1 species
CUUUUUUAAUUUAUUCAGUACUGAGCCACAGUUUUUGUUUGAUUUUGGAGUCUUGACUGGUGUUAGAGAGUAGGUCCUCAUUUUAAAACCUUGAAAUCCUUUGCACAGACAGCUGUUUUAGCUAAUCUAAAUUGAUAGACAAAUGUAAAUUCCUCGUGGGAUCUUGGCAGAGCCUUGACAGGAGUAACUGGAUAAUCAGAUUGCAUGUAGAGAGAACUCUCAGCGCAAGUCUUCACACCAAACUGUUUGCUGUUCCAAGGUCUACCAAGGUGUAUACCCGAUACAAAUGCUACAUUGGUAUUUUGAAGCCAUAUACGCUUCACUGAUGACAUUUCUGAAUUCAUCCGCAUAUACACAAUAUGUUUGAAGAGAAAAGAAGAUUCUUCUUUUGAAAAAAUACAAGUUCUCUGGUUUUGCCACCAGCCAGUCAUGGACAAUAGCAUCUUUGGAGGUCACUUGUUAAUGAGCUGAGCACUGGAAGAUGGAAAUGAUUACAAUGGGAUAUGGGUAGAGAGAUUUUAUUCAUGUUUCCAUAGAUUUAUGAAAGCAGGCAUGUGAAAGAAGUCAUGCUUAUCAGCAGCCCAUGCAGAUACUUUUCUUGGAGAUUGACAAG